CCAAUGUCCCUGGUUUUGUCUCUACUAUAGACAAACCCAGUGGAUUAAAAAACUGUUUUGAGCCACUCACUCAUAAAACUUCAGAAUGUGACUUGUACAUAGCCUUGGUUGUGAUAGAAUCCAAGAAACAACAGUGCUUCGUGUGCACUUCCUUGCAGCAAAAACACAUUGAAGAAGAAGAAUAUAAGGAGCAUUGGCAUGGAGUCAAGUGUGCAUCCAGUUGUACUCAAGUAACAUUCUGAAUGAGUAGUGUAAGUGGUACCAGUUGCCAAUGUCCCUGGUUUUGUUUAUGCUAUAGACAAACCCAGUGGAUUAAAAACUGUUUUGAGCCACUCACUCAUAAAACUUCAUAAUGUGACUUGUACAUAGCCUUAGUUGUGAUAGAAUUCAAGAAACAACAGUGCUUGAUGUGCACUUUGCUUCCCGUACAAACACAUUGAAGAAGAAGAAUAUAAGGAGCAUUGGCAUGGAGUCAUGUGUAUCCAUUUAUACUCAAGUCACAUUCUGAAUGAGUAGUGUAAGUGGUACCAGUUGCCAAUGUCCCUGGUUUUGUCCAUGCUAUAGACAAACCCAGUGGAAUAAAAAACUGUUUUGAGCUACUCACUCCUAAAACUUCAGAAUGUGACUUGUACAUAGCCUUGGUUGUGAUAGAAUCCAAGAAACAACAUUCCUUGGUGCGCACUUGCUUGCUGCACAAACACAUUGAAGAAGAAGAAUAUAAGGAGCAUUAGCAUGGAGUCAAGUGUGAAUUCAGCUUUAUACAAGUCACAUUCUGAAUGAGUAGUGUAAGUGGUACCAGUUGCCAAUGUCCCUGGUUUUGUCUAUGCUAUAGACAAACCCAGUGGAUUAAAAAACUGUUUUGAACCACUCACUCCUAAAACUUCAGAAUGUGACUUGCACAUAGCCUUGGUUGUGAUAGAAUCCAAGAAAUAACAGUGCUUGGUGUGCACUUGCUUGCUGCACAAACACAUUGAAGAAGAAGAAUAUAAGGAGCAUUGGCAUGGAAUCAGGUGUGCAUUCAGCUGCACUCAAGACAUACUCUGAAUGAGUAGUGUAUGUGGUCCCAGUUGCCAAUGUCUGUGGUUUUGUGUAUGCUACAGACAAACCCAGUGGAUAAGAAAAACUGUUUUGAGCCACUCACUCAUAAAACUUCAGAAUGUGACUUAUACAUAGCCCUGGUUGUGAUAGAAUUCAAGAAACAACAGUUCUUGGUGAGCACUUGCUUGCAGCAGAAAAGCAUU